GCAAGCUCUCCGCUCAUGUCUACGCGGCAGAGGCUCCAAGUAAAGACAACUGUCACGCGUUCGGCGCACUUGAUUGCGCGGAGUUGCCACUUCGUGGAUGCACAAGGACCAGUCAGCAGGAGUGCAGGUCGUUUUCACUGCAGGACAUCACUUCGAACUUUUGAACUUGCUGAAAUGGGAGACCCAUCGUUCAACAGGGACUGUCCACUGGACUGCAAAGUUUAUGUUGGAAAUCUUGGAAACAAUGGAAACAAGUCUGAGAUAGAACAGGCUUUUGGAUACUUCGGUCCUUUACGAAGUGUAUGGGUUGCUCGGAACCCCCCUGGCUUUGCUUUUGUUGAGUUUGAAGAUCCCAGAGAUGCCUCUGAUGCAGUGAGAGAACUGGAUGGGAGAACAUUGUGUGGCUGUCGAGUCCGUGUUGAAUUAUCCACUGGAGAAAAGCGUUCAAGAAGCCGUGGUCCUCCUCCAUCAUGGAGUCGACACUCAAGGGAUGACGUCAGGCGCCGAAGCCCCGUAGUUAGACGCAGAGUCACCACCACGCUUCUCACCAUCUGAGUCAGUCAACUAGUCCUCUUUCAGCAUCAUGUGACUGCUGACCUGCUUGGCUGGUGUUGUCACAUGAUCCAGGCGCACCGCCAGUCGUCAGGUUCCACCAAGCUUUUGGUUCCUGAGCAUGCAGUUCCCGGCAUCCUCCUUCUUCUCCAACCUUAACCCAAUCAACAGCGGCCCACCUCACAUUAUCAACCAAUCGCCGUCUUUACUCGUACUAUUCGCCAUGCGACCACUGUAUCAACGGGAACUGCCCUUGGCUUACAUCCCUCCCCCUAAAGAGAAACUACAACCAUCCCCGUCAACCAGCAAACAAGCAACUUCAUAUCGCCAACAUUUGCAGCAUGUGGCAGAUCCUCUCUGCAAUUUGACCUCCCUGUCCAUGGCUACCAUGCGCCAUUUCUUUCUUGUCCAAACCCCCCAAAAUAAUCACCAAGGAAGAGAAGCCUGAGUCGCAGUCGCAGCAGGC